CCUACGGGUGGCCGCCGUGAGGAAUAUUGGUCAAUUGUCGGGAGACUGAACCAGCCAAGCCGCGUGAGGGAUGAAGGUACAGAGUAUCGUACACCUCUUUUGUCAGGGAACAAAGGCGUGGACGCGUCCCCGGAUGAGUGUACCUGAAGAAAAAGCAUCGGCUAACUCCGUGCCAGCAGCCGCGGUAAUACGGAGGAUGCGAGCGUUAUCCGGAUUUGUUGGGUUUAAAGGGUGCGAAGGCGGUCUGUUCAUGUAGCGGUCAAAGCCCGGGGCUCAACCCCGGCCCGCCGUUGAAACUGGCAGUCUCGAGUUGGAGAGAAGUAUGCGGAAUGCGCGGUGUAGCGGUGAAAUGCAUAGAUAUCGCGCAGAACUCCGAUUGCGAAGGCAGCAGGCCGGCUCCACACUGACGCUGAGGCACGAAAGCGUGGGUAUCGAACAGGAUUAGAUACCCGGGUAGUC
rnacentral:rRNA from 1 species